GACGAACGCUGGCGGCGUGCCUAAUACAUGCAAGUAGAACGCUGAAGGAGGAGCUUGCUUCUCUGGAUGAGUUGCGAACGGGUGAGUAACGCGUAGGUAACCUGCCUUGUAGCGGGGGAUAACUAUUGGAAACGAUAGCUAAUACCGCAUAAUAGUAGAUGUUGCAUGACAUUUGCUUAAAAGGUGCAAUUGCAUCACUACCAGAUGGACCUGCGUUGUAUUAGCUAGUUGGUGGGGUAACGGCUCACCAAGGCGACGAUACAUAGCCGACCUGAGAGGGUGAUCGGCCACACUGGGACUGGGAAACGGCCCAGACUCCUACGGGAGGCAGCAGUAGGGAAUCUUCGGCAAUGGACGGAAGUCUGACCGAGCAACGCCGCGUGAGUGAAGAAGGUUUUCGGAUCGUAAAGCUCUGUUGUAAGAGAAGAACGAGUGUGAGAGUGGAAAGUUCACACUGUGACGGUAUCUUACCAGAAAGGGACGGCUAACUACGUG
rnacentral:rRNA from 1 species